rnacentral:tRNA from 1 species
GCCGUGGUGGUGGAACUGGUAGACACGCCAGAUUUAGGAUCUGGUGCUCGUAAGAGUGUGAAGGUUCGAGUCCUUUCCGCGGCAC